CUCAUUUGUGACUUAUCUUCCAUAUGGGGUUUGUUUUCUAAUUCUCAUAGGAUUUUAAUGUAAAGUCUAAUUUCUUUAAAAUAUCAACAUGUAUUCAUUUACCAGGCUCCUCAUGUAAAGCGAACCAACAGUAUAUACUGUGUGCAGUACGCUUUAGAGAACUGAAGGACCCGCACCUGGUCGGAGAGAGAGCAGGGGGAAGGCGAGCGAGAGAGGAGGGCAGCUUUAAAGCUUUUACCACUGUGCAAACAGUAGGCUGAUUGCUUUUAAUGGGAUCAACUAGAGGCCUCUGUGAGAAUCAGCCCUGCCCUGGCCAAUACCGGGAUGUCGGGUGUGGGGGCCAAGGACAGCAGCUGAUAAGACUAGACAUGACCGGGGAGAGGGGGAAGAGAGAAGAGAGAACAACCGCACAACAGAGGGAGGAUUGGAGAACAGAUAUCAACGACCUGGCGUUACUAAGAGACCAGCCUUGAUUCAUCAGCAUAUAACGGGUUUCUAAGUCUGCACAGCUCUGUUGCUCAAUCGUGGCUUAUCAUUCUGUGUCAUGGAGUGUGAGUGGGCCACACACUGAAGAUUGGAUCAAUAACCUGGUUCCUACCGGUCCACCCCUUCCCACACAUUGUUCGACCAGGCGGGGAUAGACACCUGACUGCAUCCUGGACUGGCGACAGGUUCCUGACUCUCCCAUAACUGCCGUGCAGCCCAAGGGCAGAUAUACCGGUCUGAGCCACUUUAAA